GACUGCCUGUCUGUCUCUCAACCCAGAGACCAGAGUCUGGAACAGAGGUCUCCUUCCUGUCCCAGCCCUGCCAUGGAGCUCAGGCUUCUUCUCUGCAUGGCCCUGUGUCUCCUGGGAGCAGGUCACGUGGGAGCCAUGGUCAUUCAGAACCCAAGAUACCUGGUUACCGGGAUGGGAAAACCAGUGAACCUGAGCUGUUCUCAGAAUAUGAAGCAUGAUGUCAUGUACUGGUACCAACAGAAGCCAAGCCAAGCACCAAAACUGCUGUUGUACUACUAUGAUAAACAAAUCACCAGGGAAAAAACCACCUCUGAGAACUUCCAGUCCAGCCGGCCUAACACCUCUUUCUGUUCUCUUGACAUCCGCUCGGCAGGCCUGGGGGACUCAGCUGUGUAUCAUUGUGCCAGCAGCAGAGACACAGAGCUGAAGCCUUCCCUCCCCUCUGUUCAUAAACCUCUGCUUCCCAGAGCCGAGUCCCCUCUAGACCUGCCUUCCCCCCGGCAACCACAAGAGGAAGUGGUUUAA